CUUUUCUGUCAGCUUCACUGGAAGUGGAGUUCCCAUCUUUUUCCAAUAUUCUUCCACCCAGCUCUGUAAUUCCUGGAACCAGUCCAUAACACAUAAUAUUCCUCUUCAUGCUUCUGCCAGGUGUAAUCUCAACAAUUUUAUGUCAUACCCGAGAGCUGCUUCUCAAGUGUGGAUGCACAGGGAGCUGCUUGCUGUCAUCUCCUACUUCCUGCAAAAGCAAAGUUCCAGGUGAUGAUUUCUUCUGACAUGAGAAAGCCAGUCAAGGAUCACAGAUCUGACAUGAGAGGAGUGAAAUGCAGGUGAAAACAGUUAUGUAUAGACCUUUUCUUCCUUUUUACUGUUUUUUCACCAAGCAGAAAGACCCGUGACAUCAGCAAGGGAGCAAGAAAAAGAGUCAUUACAGAACAGCAUUGAAAUGCUCAAAUAUUUCUUCAGUCAGAACAUCCGUGCCUUGUUGGCUUCAUCAGAAACUGGAAAUAAAAAUUAAAUUCCUUAAAAGAAUGAGAGUAGAUGGUUUCUUUACAUAUCAAAUGAAGCCAAAUUCUGGCAUUGGAGAGAAGUGGGAUUUGUGCCACUAGCCUGUCUGCAUGUCAGCCCAAAGACACCCACCACUCAUCACACCACACUGCAGAGACGUUUUAGUCCAUCAGCUUUUAUGGGGUGACAAUAACACAAACCACUGACAAACCAUGAAAGGUCUUUUUUUGCCUGUUCAUGACUGGGGGAGGGAAGGAGACAAGGAGACCAAAUCCAUUACAGCAAAGCAAAGUAGCUGAAGUGAACAAAAUACCUCUAAUUUUGCUCUUAUAGCACACGAUGCUUUUCUCCUCCAGCUCCCCAGGGCUGCUCACAGACAUGUCAGAGGCAGUUUCCCCCUAGGGAGUGCCUGAGUGGGGAAAAAAGAGGAUUUGGACAAAGAUUGCAGUGUUACUGACAUAUUCUCCAUAAGAAAGUGACAGAGUCCCUCUACAUUUGUGUUGGAGUGAGUUUUUGGCUGCUUCCAGCAUUUUGCAUGGGGUUGGGGUGCCCAAGAAUGAUCUGAAAGACAUCAGAAGCUCUGCUGCCUUCUGUUCCUGGAGCAGCAUCCUUCUCCAACAUCACCUUUCAUAAUCAGUGCACAGGGCUGGAUGACCACUAAAAGAAACAAAA